UCUGAGAACAGCAAAGUUGAGCCUCAUUCACACAGUCAGUGAUUGAGCCAAACCCAGGUGUGGGUCUAGACACAGAACAGGAGCAGACCUUUCCCUUAUACCUCGUGUUUGUGGAGGCUCCAAUCCUGGUUUCGGCUCACAAUCACCGACGUGUGAAUACGGCAUUAGCAGCUGCUGAUCCCUGAAGUGGUGGAACGCAGUAUAAAGCUAGUCCAAAUCCAUGGAGGUCUCAAGACAAAGCCUGUGUCUAUAGGAGAUGACCAAAACCAACUCUGUUGUUCCCACUUGUAACAGGUGGUCACCUCAACUGCAGAUGGGGGCACAAGAACCCAGUUUUCGGGAUCACUGGGAGUCGAGGCAGGCAGAUACUUAUGGCAGAUAUGGCAUAUUUAUAUGCAGAAAAUUUAAA